rnacentral:rRNA from 1 species
UACGGAGGGGGCUAGCGUUGUUCGGAAUUACUGGGCGUAAAGCGCGCGUAGGCGGACCUGCAAGUCGGGGGUGAAAGCCCGAGGCUCAACCUCGGAACUGCCUUCGAUACUGCGGGUCUCGAGUCCGGGAGAGGUGAGUGGAAUUCCUAGUGUAGAGGUGAAAUUCGUAGAUAUUAGGAAGAAACACCAGUGGCGAAGGCGGCUCACUGGCCCGGUACUGACGCUGAGGCGGCGAAAAGCGUGGGGAGCAAACAGG